GACAGUUAGCUUAGCAUAGCAUAAAGACUGGAAACAACUAGCCUACCAGCACCAAUAAAGCUCACAAAUCUUCAUGUUACAUCUUGUCAAGCAGUCGUUAGGUAACCAGGAAGUCACUGCUCCCAGACAGUUCAUCACAUGACCCCGCUGUUCCUCCUUUUGCGGUGAAUCAUCCUGAUGCUGUAGAGGGCGCCGACGAUUAGCAGGGCCCCAGUGAUGCCAAUGCCCACAGGGGCCAACAUCCCAGACACAUAACCCGCCUGCCGAGGGUGGAGACAGAGAAUGAUCCUCUGGCUCUGUUCCGGUUGGCCGCUGUGAAACAGACGGACCGGAGGAGCUGAUUGGCUCAAGGAGCUCAGCGCCAGACGUCUGCCAAGGUGACGUCCAGUCUGGCAUCAGCAGGGGUGGGGCCUGCGAGGGGCCAUCGCUGUCUGUCUCCACGGUGACCAGCUGGUCCAAGCCCACCUCUGACACAGGCAUUCCUCCGGUCGCCAUGGCAGCAGGAGGCUGAUCGCUGCCGGGUUCCAGCGUGACCGCUGCCGCAUCUGCUGGUGUGACAUCUUCUUCAAACGGCUCAAAGAUGAGAGGGAGAGCCUUCGAUGACAUGGUGCCCUCAGUGGCUUCAUCCUGAGAUGGCGGGACCACAGUGUCCACUGUAAUUGUGUCAACACAAGCACGGAGACAGAAUGAGGGUCAGGACAUGUGGCAUGGUAUACCAUUUCCAAAGGGCAGAACAGUUUGGACCUUCUGGUAAAAUACCAGUGAAAUGCUGCAAUCUGAAGAUGUUGUUCUUGUGAUUGCUAGGUUCAAUUCAGUGAGUAAACUAGGGCAAACAAAUGAGGACAAGUUGAAGGUCUUGCAGUUUUCUAACACACGACUCUGCUGACAGCUAAGAUUAAAAAUGUAUAUGUUUUCUUUCACAAAACUGCGACUGUGUUCAGCAUUGCUGAAUGCAAUUUGACAGAAUGCGGCUUUUUGAAACAGGUACCUCUUUGGACAUGCAUUUUUCUCAUUGGCAGCCCUUGCACUCGCUCAGUUCACAGUGCGGCUAAGACAAAAUGAAAGCAGGAUUGUUUGAAAAAUGGUUCUUUCUAGAUAAGAGGCUACAACAGAGAGGGCUGUCACAGGGGGAAAAGACUGUUACUGCACAUCUCAGGCAUUUCCUUUAGUCCAAAGCAUUUCUAAAGUCGGCUGGAAAAUGCUUAUAAGACUGCAAUCCUUUUACAUAAUGCUGUAUUGGGAAUUUAGUUUUUUUGUCAGCUUCCUUUCUGUUGGGAGGAAGCUUCAUCAAACAGACAACCCCCAAAUGGACGGCAGGAACACAUAUUGGCUUAGACAGACUCCUUUAAUCCAUUUCCCUCUCCUGCUUGCUGAAUAAUAACCUGCCUACUUCUUUACAAUAGUCUGGAGUGUGAAGGGUGGGAAAG